rnacentral:ncRNA from 1 species
UGAGGUAGAGGUUGCGAUUUUUAAUAGUAGGGUAAUGGAGAGUAUAGGGCUUAAUGAUGUUAUCUGAAAGGAAAUGUCGCCGAAACAGUAUUAAUCCUAUGUUAAUAUUGUUGGGACUAUAUUGAAUAAGUAUAGGACUGUCAUAGUCGUGAGGCUAUGUUGCGCUACUA